AACGAACGCUGGCGGCAUGCCUAACACAUGCAAGUCGAACGAGACCUUCGGGUCUAGUGGCGCACGGGUGCGUAACGCGUGGGAACCUGCCCCUAGGUUCGGAAUAACUCCCCGAAAGGGGUGCUAAUACCGGAUAAUGUCUUCGGACCAAAGAUUUAUCGCCUUUGGAUGGGCCCGCGCUGGAUUAGCUAGUUGGUAGGGUAAAAGCCUACCAAGGUGACGAUCCAUAGCUGGUCUGAGAGGAUGAUCAGCCACACUGGGACUGAGACACGGCCCAGACUCCUACGGGAGGCAGCAGUGGGGAAUAUUGGACAAUGGGCGAAAGCCUGAUCCAGCAAUGCCGCGUGAGUGAUGAAGGCCUUAGGGUUGUAAAGCUCUUUUACCCGGGAUGAUAAUGACAGUACCGGGAGAAUAGGCUCCGGCUAACUCCGUG
rnacentral:rRNA from 1 species